UCAAGAUUAACAACCUAUAUAUACCCUCACAGUCACGAUGUUUAGAUAUGCGGUAGGCUAGAUUAAACUAGUGAGUACUUAAGAAAUCAAGACCAUUGGAUAUAUAUAACCCGAAUGGUGAUAAUUCAUACUAAUUUAUGUAUUCGAAAUAAUGGUACGUAUUGAACAAAAGUGGUAAACGUAUUUGACACUAAAGGGUGUGCAUUGAACCCAAACCAUACGAAUUUGAGAUGAUGAUACCACGAUCAUUAUUAUUUCUCAUAAAUAAUAACCUAUAAUGUCAAGUUUUUGAUAUCAUAAUUGUUAUUAUUUCUCACAAACAACAUGAUUUAUCCAAUCAAAACCGAUAGACUAUGAGUAUCACAAAUACGAAUAAAAUAGUAACACAUGGACGAGUUCACGACACCACAAUCAUUAUUUCUCGCCAAAUACUAACAUAUAAUGUCUAGCUUACGAUUCACGGUCAUUCCUAUUUCUCAUAAAUAACGAGAUCCAAUUGAUCAAACGAAGCAUUACAAACAUGAACAUAGACUUGUUGAUCAAGCAAUCAAUCAAAUGCAAUACCUUACCUCUCUUUCAAGAGCUUCCCUCUUCUCUUGCCCUAUCACCUUCUUCUUCCUCUGCCCAAGAAAACCUUAAAGCUUAGGAACCCAAAUUACGCAAACCACAUUACCCAACAAUGAAAGCUGAAAAUCCAACUUACAGAAUCAGAAUUAGGCAAUAGUAAGUUGCCAUGGUGAUGCUGAUGAUGAAGGCUAGCCAUUGAAGAAGGAAAGAAGAACCCUUCAAAGUACCCAUAAGCUUAAUUCUUUCUUUGAACUUUGUAUAUGUAGAUGAAGCAAUUGGGUGGGAGUUUGGCUUGAAUCCAAAGGGAAGGAGAAAAAGAGAGAAAUGGUUGGUGAUGUGUAGAUGUAAUGGAAGUUGGGUUGGUGGGGGAAAUUGGAUUUGUAAGGAAACCCUCAUCCCAAAAGGGUGAAUGUCUUAGGAAUUUUGUGGAUGGAGGGGAG
rnacentral:lncRNA from 1 species